rnacentral:rRNA from 1 species
GUCUGUUAUGAAAAUAUUAAUAGUCUAGCCUGCCCACUGAAGUUUUGAAGGGCCGCGGUAUUUGGACCGUGCUAAGGUAGCAUAAUCAAUAGUCUUUUAAUUGGAGUCUGGAAUGAAUGGUUGGAUGAAAUAUAAGUUGUCUUGGAUUAUAAAGGUUGAAUUUUACUUUUGAGUGAAAAGGCUUAAAUGAAUUGGGGGGACGAUAAGACCCUGUGAAGCUUUAUGUUAUUAAGGUGUUCAUGAAUAAUAUUUUAGUGGUUAGGUUUAUACUUUAAUAAUAUUGUGUUGGGGCGAUAGGAAUAAAAUGUGUAACUGUUUUUAUUAUACAAAUAAUGAUAUUUAGAAUGUUGAUCUUUAAUUUGAGAUUAAGAGAUUAAAGUUACUCCAGGGAUAACAGCGUAAUUCUUUUUGAGAGUUCUUAUCGACGAAAGUAUUUGCGACCUCGAUGUUGAAUUAAAAUUUCGCCAAGGUGUAGGAGUUUUGGUUGUAGGUCUGUUCGACCUUUAAAAUUUUACAUGAUUUGAGUUCAGACCGGCGUG